rnacentral:rRNA from 1 species
GGAGGCCAAGUCUGGUGCCAGCAGCCGCGGUAAUUCCAGCUCCAAUAGCGUAUAUUAAAGUUGUUGCAGUUAAAAAGCUCGUAGUUGAAUUUCGGGGUCAGUAAGUUGGUCGUGCCACUGGUAUGCACUGGCUUUACUGAUUCCUCCUUCUUGAAGAACUGUGAUGUCAUUUACUUGGUGUUGCAGGGAAACAGGACUGUUACUUUGAAAAAAUUAGAGUGUUUAAAGCAGGCUAACGCUUGAAUACAUUAGCAUGGAAUAAUGAAAUAGGACGUUUGACCCUAUUUUGUUGGUUUCUAGGAUCGACGUAAUGAUUAAUAGGGAUAGUUGGGGGCAUUAGUAUUCAAUUGUCAGAGGUGAAAUUCUUGGAUUUAUUGAAGACUAACUACUGCGAAAGCAUUUGCCAAGGAUGUUUUCAUUAAUCAAGAACGAAAGUUAGGGGAUCGAAGACGAUCAGAUACCGUCGUAGUCUUAACCAUAAACUAUGCCGACUAGGGAUCGGAUGAUGUUAAUUUUUUAAUGACUCAUUCGGCGCCUUACGGG